UUCUGCGUCUAUUUCCGGGUGAAGUCAGAGCAGGGAUUCCGCGAGCGGACUGUGCAGGAUGGAAACGCGAUGUUUAUGGCUGUUACUGGUCUGCGUGCUGUCACUGAAUCGUGCCAGGGCGGACAAUGGCAGCGUUAAAAAGAUGAAAAUGCAAUAUACAGGAAUGCCACUGCUGAAGUUUCAGAUUUGUGUGUCCUGAGGGUACAGGCGGGUGUUUGAAGAGUACACUCGGGUUCUCAGCCAGAGGUACCCAGACAUCCGCAUCGAGGGAGAAAGCUUCCUUCCACAGCCUCUCUACAGACACGUAGCUUCCUUCUUCUCUGUCUUCAAACUUGCAGUGAUUGGUUUAAUCAUCCUGGGCAAGGACCCUUUCACCUAUUUCAACAUGGAGACUCCGGGAAUCUGGCUUUGGGCGCAAGAGAAUAAGAUAUAUGCCUGCAUGAUGGUGUUCUUCCUCAGCAACAUGAUAGAAAACCAGUGCAUGUCCACUGGCGCCUUUGAAAUCUCCCUUAAUGACGUGCCUGUAUGGUCCAAGCUGCAGUCGGGACACCUGCCCUCCAUGCAGCAGCUGGUGCAGAUCCUGGAGAAUGAGAUGAAGCUGAGUGCACACAUGGACUCUCUCCCGCACAGACGGGCGUAGAGGUGCAGGAGCGAAACAGACUGGAUGUGGCUUGUGGGUAUCCCACUGGGGUUUCGUGAGUGAUGCGAGGCCCUGGUGUGUGUGUGAGAUGGCGUUAAUGAAGGUUUGCACUAAAGGCAGUGUGUCUGCUGGUGUGGACUGGAUGUCCGGCUCUCUCUCGCUGCUCCGCGGGUCUCUCCGUACCCACAGCCCUACAGUCCAUGGCUAGGAAUUACGGAGAAAAUUGAAGGGUUCGCUUGCAGAUAUUCUGCAGUCAUCGACCAAUUAAAACACACGCUGUUAAGUGCGUUUAAAGCGGUGUUAAACAGUGUUUACCUGUUUUUAGAGUGUGUGUAGUAGACUGCUGCAUUAAUGACUUCAGAUUCUUGUAGUAUCUGCAGAACUACACUUCUGUAUAUGAUUUCUCGCUCGUUUUUUUUUUUUUUUAUGCUUUCGUCAUAUGAUUUUUUUUUUGUUGCCAAUUUAUUAAUUACAGUAAUAUUUGCAGCAAUUCUCUGUGUAUGUUUAGACAGCGGCACUCGUUAAGAAAUAUAAACCGUUAUGUAAAUGUAUCCGAUGACUAAAUAUGUGCACAUCAUCAAGGAUGCACUUUGAUACAUUUAGAUUUUUGAUAAUUUGUAAUGUUUGUUUUUACUGUUUCGAAUAAAUUCGGUCAAUGGACGUUUAAA